GUGCUCGCUUCAGCAGUACAUAUACAAAAUUGGAACGAUACAGAGAAGAUUAGCAUGGCCCCUGUGCAAGGGAAAAGAUAUCUGUAAAAUGACAUAUCUGAUA
ensembl:snRNA U6 U6 spliceosomal RNA